rnacentral:rRNA from 1 species
UACGGAGGAUGCAAGCGUUAUCCGGAUUUAUUGGGUUUAAAGGGUGCGCAGGUUGUUUGAUAAGUCAGUGGUGAAAGUCUGUCGCUUAACGGUAGGAUUGCCAUUGAUACUGUUGGACUUGAAUAUGGAUGAGGUAGGCGGAAUGUGUAGUGUAGCGGUGAAAUGCAUAGAUAUUACACAGAACACCGAUUGCGAAGGCAGCUUGCUAAUCCAUCAUUGACGCUGAGGCACGAAAGCGUGGGGAUCAAACA